GAGGGCUUAGCUUAACGGUAAAGCAUGUGACUUUUAAUCAUUGUUAUAUGAGUUCAAAUCUCAUAGCUCUUA
rnacentral:tRNA from 1 species